GGGUUGUGAGGUUAAGCGACUAAGCGUACACGGUGGAUGCCCUGGCAGUCAGAGGCGAUGAAGGGCGUGCUAAUCUGCGAUAAGCGCCGGUAAGGUGAUAUGAACCGUUAUAACCGGCGAUACCCGAAUGGGGAAACCCAGUGUGACUCGUCACACUAUCAUUAACUGAAUCCAUAGGUUAAUGAGGCGAACCGGGGGAACUGAAACAUCUAAGUACCCCGAGGAAAAGAAAUCAACCGAGAUUCCCCCAGUAGCGGCGAGCGAACGGGGAGGAGCCCAGAGCCUGAAUCAGCAUGUGUGUUAGUGGAAGCGUCUGGAAAGGCGCGCGAUACAGGGUGACAGCCCCGUACAC
rnacentral:rRNA from 1 species